rnacentral:rRNA from 1 species
GACGAACCGUGCGAACGUUAUUCGGAAUCAUUGGGCUUAAAAGCGCGUGUAGGCGGAUUCGUGCGUCUGUCGCUGAAAUCCCCCGGCUCAACCGGGGAAGUGGCGUGGAUACGACGAGUCUGGAGGGGCAUAGGGGGACCUGGAACUUCCGGUGGAGCGGUGAAAUGCGUUGAGAUCGGAAGGAACGCCCGUGGCGAAAGCGAGGUCCUGGAUGCCUACUGACGCUGAGGACGCGAAAGCCAGG